rnacentral:rRNA from 1 species
UACGUAGGUGGCGAGCGUUAUCCGGAAUGAUUGGGCGUAAAGGGUGCGUAGGCGGGUUAUCAAGUCAGCGGUCAAAUACGGGGGCUCAACCUGCGUCCGCCGUUGAAACUGGCGUUCUUGAGUGGGCGAGAAGUACGCGGAAUGCGUGGUGUAGCGGUGAAAUGCAUAGAUAUCACGCAGAACCCCGAUUGCGAAGGCAGCGUACCGGCGCCCAACUGACGCUGAAGCACGAAAGCGUGGGUAUCGAACAGG